GAAGCAGGGAUCCCAGGUAUACUAGUUGGAGUUUCUGUAGACGGAAAGGAAGUCUGGUCAGAAGGUUUGGGUUAUGCUGAUGUAGAGAACCGUGUGGUAUGUAAGCCAGAGACGAUCAUGCGAAUUGCUAGUAUUAGCAAGUGUCUUACAAUGAUGGCUGUUGCUAAAUUGUGGGAAGAGGGGAAACUGGAUUUAGAUGCUCCAGUGCAGAAAUACGUCCCUGAAUUUCCAGAAAAAGUGUACGAGGGUGAAAAGGUCACUAUUACAACAAGACUGUUAGUUUCACACUUGAGUGGGAUUCGUCACUAUGAAAAAGAUAUUACAAAAGUAAAGGAAGAAAAGGAAAAGGCAAACAGAGCAUUUAAACUAACAAAACCCUAUCAGGAUAAAGAACAAAAAGAAAAAGAAGGCAAAGAGAUUGAAAAGACUGAUUCUGUGAAACUGAGGAAAGAACACAAAGGUGAGGUAAAAAGCCGAAAUUCAAAACCUGGCAGGAGAGACAAGGAAUUUGAGCAAGAAGAGUAUUAUUUGAAGGAAAAAUUUGAAAGUGUGAUUGAAUCACUGAAGAUAUUUAAAAAUGAUCCUUUGUUCUUUAAACCAGGUAGUCAGUUCUUGUAUUCAACGUAUGGCUUUACUCUCUUAAGUGCUGUUGUGGAGAGAGUUUCAGGACAAAAAUUUACAGAUUACAUGCUAAAAAUGUUUCGUGAUUUGGAUAUGCUAUCGACUGUACUAGAUGACAAUGAAGCAAUGAUAUAUAACAGAGCAAGGUGUUACGUUUACAACAAAAAGGGACGGCUGGUAAAUGCACCGUAUGUGGACAACUCUUACAAGUGGGCUGGUGGUGGUUUUCUGUCGUCAGUAGGUGACCUUCUGAAAUUUGGAAAUGCCUUGUUAUACAGUUAUCAAGCUGGACAGUUUAAAAACACUAAUGGCAAACUUCUUCCUGGGUACCUCAAACCAGACACAGUUGCAAUGAUGUGGACCCCAGUGCCAAAAACGGAAGUAUCAUGGGACAGGGAUGGUAAAUAUGCAAUGGCUUGGGCUGUAGUAGAGAAAAACCAACAAUAUGGCUGUUGCAGACGGCAGAGACGCUAUGCAUCUCAUACGGGUGGUGCAGUGGGGGCGAGUAGUGUCCUCCUGAUUCUCCCUGAAGAGCUGGACUCUGAAACUAUAGCUACUGGGCUAGUGGCACCACCUAGAGGAGUAAUUGUUAGUAUUAUCUGCAAUAUGCAAUCAGUUUCACUCAACAGCACUGCCUUAAAGAUUGCAAGGGAAUUUGAUAAAGAAAAAUGGGUAAAUACAUAGAUUAAAAAGAUACGUGUAACUGAACUCACUGUAUUGAAACAAAAAACAAAUGGAGAAGGGUGGAAUUUGACUCUGUGGUCACUAAGAAUACGUGAAGAAAAAGCAUAAAAAAUUCACUUAAUUAACUUCUGCUAGUGGUGCUAAACUUAUGUGGAACUGGAAUUCAUCUCUCAGGGAAGUUCCUAACUUACAGAAAAGGAGAAUGUAACAGUCAAAUUUGACUUCCUGUAAUACCUGUGUAAAUUAUCAUUGUAUUAGGGGUUCUUUUUCCUCAUCCAGUCAAACACUUGACCAAGGUUAAAAAAACUAGCAUUGGUUUCUUGCACUGAGAAGUAUAACAACAAAUUAUCUACCUUAAAUGUUAAACUUCCAAAAAAAUUUCUCAUCUUGAUUUGAGCACACAAAGAUGUAAUUUGUUAUUCUCACAGUCUGCCAAAACUCUUCAGUAUUACUUUUUAAAGAAAAAAUGGUUUUACUGUUGAUUUCUCUAUUUUCAUGUAGCGCUUUUCUUAUUUGCUUAAAAAGCAAAAAAACCCUGACAAAACCCAAAUCUUGCAAGCUACCUCCAAAAUGCAGAUUUAUACCAGGAGUAUGCUUUUGUCAGAGCUGUGGAUUAUUAAGAGUUAGAAAAGAAUGAAACUAGAGUAAUGUAAGUAAAAAAUCUAUUUGUUAUUUAGAUGUCCUCUCUCCCAUUUUUAUUGCGCACAGGGAAUGUGUGAAACUAGUUUACUGUGAAAUAAGGGUAUUACUUCCACAGAUGAAUAUGCCCGAACAGCACAACAUGUUUUGAGCACAUGCUAGCUGGGUAAACAUGCAGCAGCAGAAGUCAUUGCCCAUUUUACACAGGGAACAAGAGUAAGUAGUUCUGAGGUGUUUUCAUGUUGAAGAAUACAUGAAUAGAAAUAGACCAAAUACUAUGUUUUAAAUACAGAAAAUCUGAAAAGUAACUGUUAUUUUAGGAUUUAUAACAUACUUUUAUGAUGCAUCUGUUUUGCAAAUGGUAUUUAUUGUUUUUGAAAGCCAUUUUGCAUACUUGAGAGAAAAUCAGUUUCACUCACUGACUACUAUGUUUGGGUUUAGACAAAGACUGAGAAUGUAGGCGUAGGUUUACCAUUAUGCUUGUCUGCCUAUGACUGAACACUAGUAAAUGUAAAUAUUUGAAGUAUGUAUGAAAGUGCAUAAUGGUAAGAAGUGUCUAAGGCAUUUCUAACACCAAGGUAUUAAUGACAGUGCCUCACUCCCCUUAUAGAGUAUGUUUAGUCACCAACUUCUUACGUGCAUACCAUGUUCUUUAUACUGUAUCUCCUGUAACUUAAGGAUUUUUAAAACAACUCUGUUGUUACAUGUAGAGUAUUGGAGAUACUAUGAUGUCUAAAAUUAAUCUUCCAGUACCUGGAACAAAAUAGGUCACUGACAUUUUCUGAUUUGGUAUUUACUUAGUCAUGAAUUGUUAUCUUCCAGAGCAGAGGAAGAAAAGGCAGAGAUAUGGGAGACUAGGAAUCAGUCUGGCCUUAGCACAUGUAUUCAGGUCACAAGUGAAUUAAUAUUGCUACUUCGAUCUUUGUUCUGUAACCAGUUACUUGAUGGACUGGCAUUAAGUGUGGGAAACUGGUCAAUUAAGAGCAGGUUUCAUUAUAAGCUUGCUCUUAAAUUAACCUUUAUUGUGAAAAUGCAGUAUGGCACUGACAUAAAACUGUACUUUUCUUAAAAGGCAUGUAUACUAAGUUGGUGCAUCUAUUUCUGUAUCAAACACCUACUUUUUGC